rnacentral:rRNA from 1 species
AUUGAACGCUGGCGGAAUGCUUUACACAUGCAAGUCGAACGGCAGCACGGGGCAACCUGGUGGCGAGUGGCGAACGGGUGAGUAAUACAUCGGAACGUGCCCAAUCGUGGGGGAUAACGUAGCGAAAGUUACGCUAAUACCGCAUACGAUCUACGGAUGAAAGCGGGGGAUCGCAAGACCUCGCGCGAAUGGAGCGGCCGAUGUCAGAUUAGGUAGUUGGUGGGGUAAAGGCUCACCAAGCCAACGAUCUGUAGCUGGUCUGAGAGGACGACCAGCCACACUGGAACUGAGACACGGUCCAGACUCCUACGGGAGGCAGCAGUGGGGAAUUUUGGACAAUGGGCGCAAGCCUGAUCCAGCCAUUCCGCGUGCAGGAUGAAGGCCUCGGUUGUAAACUGCUUUUGUACGGACGAAAAGUACCUGGUUAAUACUGGGCUCGAUGACGUACCGUAACGAAUAAGAACCGGCGUAACUAACGUGCCAGCAGCCGCGGUAAACUCGU